rnacentral:rRNA from 1 species
AUUGAACGCUGGCGGCAUGCCUUACACAUGCGAGUCGAACGGUAACAGGUUAAGCUGACGAGUGGCGAACGGGUGAGUAAUGUAUCGGAACGUGCCCAGUCGUGGGGGAUAACUGCUCGAAAGAGCAGCUAAUACCGCAUACGACCUGAGGGUGAAAGCGGGGGAUCGCAAGACCUCGCGCGAUUGGAGCGGCCGAUAUCAGAUUAGGUAGUUGGUGGGGUAAAAGCCUACCAAGCCUACGAUCUGUAGCUGGUCUGAGAGGACGGCCAGCCACACUGGGACUGAGACACGGCCCAGACUCCUACGGGAGGCAGCAGUGGGGAAUUUUGGACAAUGGACGCAAGUCUGAUCCAGCCAUGCCGCGUGCGGGAAGAAGGCCUUCGGGUUGUAAACCGCUUUUGUCAGGGAAGAAAAGGUUCUGGCUAAUACCCGGGACUCAUGACGAUACCUGAAGAAUAAGCACCGGCUAACUACGUGCCAGCCGCCGCGGUAAAAC